rfam:Gossypium raimondii Chr10_contig_1261, whole genome shotgun sequence.
UAUUAAAAAUUCGACCCAUUUGCUUUGUUAAAAAUUGAGAUGACUGAUGGAAUAAUUGUACAAUGAUAUGUAGCGUGUCACGUAUACCUCAUGGUGAGACAUAUGAAUCAAUUUUUAAUAGUAGGAACGAAUGAAUUUUUUAAUA